CCUACAGGAGGCAGCAGUGAGGAAUAUUGGUCAAUGGGCGCGAGCCUGAACCAGCCAAGUCGCGUGAGGGAAGACGGUCCUAUGGAUUGUAAACCUCUUUUGUCGGGGAGCAAAGCGAACCACGUGUGGUUCAUUGAGAGUACCCGAAGAAAAAGCAUCGGCUAACUCCGUGCCAGCAGCCGCGGUAAUACGGAGGAUGCGAGCGUUAUCCGGAUUUAUUGGGUUUAAAGGGUGCGCAGGCGGUCUGUUAAGUCAGCGGUCAAAGCCCGGGGCUCAACCCCGGCCCGCCGUUGAAACUGGGAGUCUCGAGUUGGAGAGAAGUAUGCGGAAUGCGCGGUGUAGCGGUGAAAUGCAUAGAUAUCGCGCAGAACUCCGAUUGCGAAGGCAGCAUGCCGGCUCCACACUGACGCUGAGGCACGAAAGCGUGGGUAUCGAACAGGAUUAGAUACCCUUGUAGUC
rnacentral:rRNA from 1 species